UCCGCCUGAUAUUACUAGGUGAACGACAAGGUAAUCAUCAAAAGUGGAUGGUCAGCAUUGAAUCCUUAAUCAUUUGUGAAAGGUCCAACCUCGCCACAUUUCUAACAGGGAUUGCGACAUGUUUCUCCACCUUCUAUAUUCUGAAUCUGCAAUAUCAGGAGGAGGCAGUGUGCACCCUUGAAUUCUUCCAGAGAAAAAGGCCCAGAAGAAGCCUAAGAACAAUCACUAAUAAGUAAAGUGAAUGUUACUUGAUUUCUCAUGAAUGUUACUUAAUUUCCUCC